rnacentral:rRNA from 1 species
GUGGGGAAUAUUGCGCAAUGGACGAAAGUCUGACGCAGCGACGCCGCGUGAGGGACGAAGGUCUUCGGAUCGUAAACCUCUGUCAGAAGGGAAGAAGUGUAUGGGUAGUAACUGACCUGUACUUGACGGUACCUUCAGAGGAAGCACCGGCUAACUCCGUGCCAGCAGCCGCGGUAAUACGGAGGGUGCGAGCGUUAAUCGGAAUUACUGGGCGUAAAGCGCGCGUAGGCGGCUUUGUAAGUCAGGGGUGAAAUACCACGGCUCAACCGUGGCAUUGCCUUUGAUACUGCAGAGCUUGAGUUAGGGAGAGGGUGGUGGAAUUCCAGGUGUAGGAGUGAAAUCCGUAGAGAUCUGGAGGAACAUCAGUGGCGAAGGCGACCACCUGGCCCGAUACUGACGCUGAGGUGCGAAAGCGUGGGUAGCAAACAGGAUUAGAAACCCUGGUAGUCC